UCUGCACCGUUUCCCUGCGCACAGCUCUCUGCUCAUCACUCAUCCAAACACAAACUUUCCGCAGUUUAGUGACUCUUUUCUUUAUCUGACAAAAUGCCUCUUAAGUUUGAGCUUUGCCCCGGCAGGAAGAUCGGAGGGGACCAGCCCUGCUUCAUCAUUGCUGAAAUUGGGAUAAACCACCAGGGAGACGUCGAGAUUGCCAAGCAAAUGAUCAAAAGGGCAAAGGUAAUUAAAUCAGCUCUUAGAGGUUUAUUUUUAAUGAAGACAUCACUACUUUUUUUCAUGCUCAUUUAAGUGAGUCAUUAAAGCUUAAAAUGAUGUUUUUUUUCUUCAAUUGAAAUAUUUGAAUAAAUAGGAGCAGAAAUAAUCGAGCUAAAAUGGAAAAAAUUUUAACUUUGUAAACAUUUAAGUGGUUUUUGAUAAACUUUGUGUGAAUUUCUGAAUGUAUGCACUGUUUUAUAAAUAAACACAAACAUUUUUCUGUACAUAUAUAAUCUAAAAUGAAUUUUUAUCACAACAAAUAUGAAUCAUUACUUUAAAUUUUGUGUUUUACUUUACAAAGCUGCUAGAUUUCUUUUUUUCCCCUCAUCAUAAAAUCAGAUUAUUGAGAAUAUUUCAGACUAAAGUGAGUUAAAUCAUGUUAGAGAUAACUUGUGUGUCAAUCUUGCUUUCAUAUAUUCUUCUUAUAUAUUUUUAAAAAUAUUUUAAAUAUAAAUUCCAGACAUUUAUUGGUCCAGUGCUCGGUUUGGGAGUGUGAGAUGUGAUACCUGAUGGCUCACAGGUGAAGAGUGUCACCUGGGAAGAGCUUGAAUUUAUCUAUUUAUUUAUUUAAUGUUUCUUUGUAUAGGGGCAAGUAUGAAGCAGGUAAACCAUUGCCACAUACUACUGCAUUUAUAGCUGAAGCUCAUUUGUAAUGCCCGUCCCUAACUAAAAUUCCCAAACAAACACAAACAGUCGCAAUGUUAAAAUUGCAUCAAAUUCACUUAAAACAAGCUAAAUAUUACAAAGACAAAACACAGAGAUAGAAGAUAUAAAAUCUCACAGAAAGAGGAGAAAGACUCUUUUUUUCUGUUAAUAUUAGUACCAAAUGUAUGAGGAAGUAUCAGUGAGGGUCAAAUAAACCCGUUUAAUAUCAAACAUUUACAGAAAAUAUCUGGUUUCAUCUGGGCGAGGAGAGAUACCUGAGCAGAGCGUGCAGGAGAGGCUGUCAACACCUUCAUCCAAACACAAUAACCCGUUGACAUUUAUGGUUUCUCAUGCACCUCAUAAUUUGGUGGUUUCCAUAUUUUAAGGAUUGUAGUGCAUGCGUUAAAAUAUGAUAAUUGACACUUUGCACUGAUCUAGACAGUUGCUGUAUGAUGAGAUAAUGAGACAGACAAGCGAAAAGGUCACACCACAACAACUGGCAGUCUCACACAGUCGGACUGAGGCAGUGAAUCGAGUUUUUUAACAUACCACGUCAUGUUUGUGAAAAAAUUAUAAGAUUCAGCCUCGAGUGUGGAAAGGAGUCACGAAGACCACUGAUGAUGAUUUUUUUUUUUGCAUUAACCGAAAACAAGAAUCCAGCCAAAGAAUAAGUCAAAAUAACACUGAUGAUCGAACAUCAUUUUGAGUCAUUUUCCAUUUAGUAUUUACGCCCCACAAAAAUGGAACACCCUGCCUGACACACUUAGACAUCAGUAGCCAUCUUUAAAAACAGAUUAAAAAACUCUUUUCUAUAGCAUUCAGUUGAAUUGAAUUGAAUUGAACUGGUCUGCAACCUGUAAUAAGUAUUUUCUUUUUUUUUUUUUUUUUUUUUUUUUUUUAAAGGUACAGUGCAUCGUAGUCGGUGGCAUGCAGUUUUAACAGUAAAAGAAUUAGAAUUUUUAUUUUAUUUUAUUUUUUUUUAUGGAAAACAUGAAUUUUUUGUCCUUAAAAGCCACCGUUACAGGAGGGGACAGCCGGGGAGCAUUUUGAUCUAGAAUCCGACAGAUAGAUGUCACUAAUUAUUCUCAAACACCAGUUUUGUCCCUGCAGUAGGUUUUCAUUUUGCUUGUUACAGAUGAAUGAUUUUCUGGAUACUUUCUGCUUAAAGGGUUGAAUGCCUCAUAAACUGCUCUGCAGAACAGGUUCUGCCAGUGUUGUAUGUUUUUAUUAAAAUCACUGCCUCUGUCAAUAAACAAUAGCUGAUUCACUCACACUUAUGCUAACAGCCCUGAGCAGUUAGUGAGAAAUAUUUGACCAUUUCCUGGUGCAGGUUACUGUGAAAUAAACAAUCUUAACAAAAUCUUCAGCGAAUAAGACAAUGUCACCCGUGGAUGAUCUAAGAAUACCAUACCAUGCAAAGUCUGCCAUAAUUACUAUCUUAUGAUAAUCAAAGAUUAAAUCGGUCUGUGGCUCAACAUACAAACUGUGCUUUUACACACAGUUGGCUUCCUCUUAUCUAUUCAUUUAUUCAAGAGGAAACUGCAAAACUGGAGCAAACUGCAAGAUGGGGUUUUUUUUUUGCUCCAGAUUUCAUCACCGCAAUUUCCUACGGGGGCCAAAGGUUGAGAACUGGUUGGUUUCACUACCAGGAACUCAGACACUGAGUGUUUUUUUCGGGGAAGAGAGACAGUGCUUUGUGUGAUAGUUUGUUUUGUGGUUACAAGAAUGAUUGUACCAACGGUCGUUCUUGUAGAAAGCUGUCGACGUCAAACGCUUUUUAGAGUUUAAAGAGCAUUUUUGUCACAUUACUGUUCAUUUAUUGACUCUUUCAUUUAAAUAUUGUAUGUUUUUCUGCAAGGUUACACUACGUAUGAUCUGAGAGGACUCUCAAAAUCAAAUUGCCAAGAUCAAGCUCUCUGAAUCUGAAUCCAGUUUCUUCUCACCUUCACAGGACUGCGGUGCAGAUUGCGCCAAAUUUCAGAAGAGUAUUUUAGAGUACAAAUUCAACAAGAGAGCCUUGGAGCGCCCGUACAAUUCGAAACACUCCUGGGGGGCAAGCUACGGUGAGCAUAAGCGCCACCUGGAGUUCAACAAAGAGCAGUACGAGGAACUGCAGAAAUAUGCAAAUGAGGUGGGGAUCUUCUUCACCGCUUCAGCGAUGGAUGAGGUGAGAAAAAAACCCAGUAAUUAACCUUUUGUUUUAAAAAAAAAAAGUUCAAUAUGAGUUCAAGUUUAAUCUCGGUUUAUUCUGUCUUUAGAUGGCGGUGGAGUUCCUGGAUGAUAUGAAUGUGCCGUUCAUCAAAGUGGGCUCUAAUGACACCAACAACUUCCCCUAUCUGGAGAAAACUGCCAAGACAGGUGCAAACUCUCAUAUCUGAUACGAUGUCUGGACUUAUGCUCUUAGUUGUAUGUUUCACCCUACCGAUCAGCUGUUCAUUGAGAAAAGCAGUAAGACGUUGGCGUUUUCCACUUUAAAUAUAACCAAAUACCGAUUUCAAGCCUUUGAUUGAGUCUUUAGUGAAUGUCGGCUUGUUUUGGAAAAUAAAACUCUCUUUAUGAGCUGUGUUGUGGAAAAUCCAGCAUAAACAAUGCACAGGAGACAGGAUGAGAUCUGAAGAACAGCCUGGGUGUCUUUUAUUGUACAGAUGUAGAAAUCAGUGCAGAUGACAAACAGAGUCUCGACCAAGAGCGAAGGAAGCCUCCCUAGCUUUUCUUCUACUCCCUUUUAUGCUCACAGGUGUGUGAGGGUGUGUCAUCAUGGGUAUGUCAUAUCAAUUCUCCAUGAUGACAUGUCGUACUGUUCUGACCUUCAACACUUUGUUUAGACUAGUCUUAACUCUCGCAGAGAUUAAAUGUUCCGACAGACAGAAAGUUUGGGCUCCUGCAAGACAGCCUUGCUUACAACCUCAGGGUCAUGAGGCUGCAUGAGCAGGCCAACCUAGAUUAUUUGUAGCUCCUUACUAAAAGAUAAUUACUCUAUAUUUCUUAACCUAAAUGUAUGAAGAGAUUCUCCUACACAGUCCCCCCUUUGAAAGUUCUUACUUUCAUAAAACCCUGAUCAUCAUAUCAAACACUAAACAUCCUUAAGUGAUUAAAAUAAAACAUGUUCACUGAAUUCUAAAUGCUGUGAGUGAUUUGCUGCAUCUAAGACUUAAUAAUAUAUGGCAUGAAACAAAAAUCAAAAUGCAUUAACCAGUUAUAUGAAUUGUGCAACCUUAUCAAAUCGUGAUAUAAUUCCCCCAAUUAUGCAAAAGUUAUAAAAUUGUGAUAUCAAUUCUCAAGAAAUGUAAUAAUCAAUGUUUAUUGGGUUGAAUUAUAUCUUACUUUGAUGUUCAAUUUCUUCACCAUCAUACCAUAGCAAGGAUCAUUUCAAAUUAUAUCAGCGCAUAAGACUUAAAACCCUGCCGGGCUGUUUCAGCAGGGAAAGAAUGUUACGGCCCCGCCCCCUGGCGACCAUUCAUUUCCUGGAUGCGCCGACAUAAUUUCAUUUGCAUAGAAAAAGUGUCAACUUCUGAUAAUACCAUUACAUUACAUUGUAGCAACCUGCGACAAACCCCUUGAUUAGUAUGUGAUUAACUCCAUGAUCAAUGUGUGAUUAGUGUAGUCCUUUAACUCUGCGAAUGAAACAUGUUCAGUUCAUUAUCCAUUCAUUCGCAGAGUUAAAGGACUACACUAAUCACACAUUGAUCAUGGAGUUAAUCACAUACUAAUUAUUUUUAUUCAACCCAAUGAACAUUGAUUAUUACAUUUCUUGAGAAUUAACAUCACAAUUUUAUAACUUUUGCAUAAUUGGGGGAAUUACAUCACGAUUUGAUAAGGUUGCAUUAUUCAUAUAACUGGUUAAUGCAUUUUGAUUUUUGUUUCAUGCCAUAUAUUAUUAAGUCUUAGAUGCAGCAAAUCACACACAUAGCAUUUAGAAUUCAGUGAACAUGUUUUAUUUUAAUCACUUAAGGAUGUUUAGUGUUUGAUAUGAUGAUCAGGGUUUUAUGAAAGUAAGAACUUUCAAAGGGGGGACUGUGUAGGGGAAUCUCUUCAUACAUUUAGGUUAAGAAAUAUAGAGUAAUUAUCUUUUAGUAAGGAGCUACAAAUAAUCUAGGUUGGCCUGCUCAUGCAGCCUCAUGACCCUGAGGUUGUAAGCAAGGCUGUCUUGCAGGAGCCCAAACUAUCUGUCUGUUGGAACAUUUAAUCUCUGCGAGAGUUAAGACUAGUCUAAACAAAGUGUUGAGGGUCAGAACAGUACGACAUGUCAUCAUGGGUAGCCCUCUGGAGAAUUGAUAUGACAUACCCAUGAUGACAGAACACACACACACACACACACACACACUCACACACCUGUGAGCAUAAAAGGGAGUAGAAGAAAAGCUAGGGAGGCUUCCUUCGCUCUUGGUCGAGACUCUGUUUGUCAUCUGUACUGAUUUCUACAUCUGUACAAUAAAAGACACCCAGGCUGUUCUUCAGAUCUCAUCCUGUCUCCAGUGCAUUGUUUAUGCUGGAUUUUCCACAACAGCUGUUCAAGAGUUGGUGUUAUUGUAAAAUCAGGUCUGUCAUGCAGUAUAUGUUCAGCUAAAUGAGUCUAUUAUUAACUACUGCAUUGCCCUGUUAAAGCUAGCUGUAAGUUAAUAUAGUCAUGGCUGGGUGAAGCUUGAAUCGGUUACUUUUUCACCUGCCGAAAAAUCUUACCUGUUUAUAUCUAUGUGGAAGCAUAAUCUAAUGGCGUAUUUUCACCUAUCAACACGCCCUACAAGCAUAGCUCUAUCUGGAAGCACAUUCUGACCUUCUGCAUAAAGGUCCUUACACACCGGGGCCGACACGCAUACAGAACGCGAAAUUACGAAAUAUUCAGAGGCGAAUUCUGACUAUACACAUCAAGCCCGACGGAAAAAAGAUGCGUCCCGGUGGAAGCGAGAAGACUGACACAACAGCAGACUUCGUGUUGAGUGUCUGUCUGUCAUGAUAGCAUGUACUGAGUCGGGGCCAGUACCAGAUAAGAACAUUAAACUAUAAUCCAUAAACGUAAGGGAACAACCGAGACCUAACGGUGCUGUGACAGCACUGCGAUUGAGUGAUCCGAAAAAAUAAAUGGCGCUAUAUCGCAGAACGGGAGAACGUUGCUGAUGUGAACGCUUGUAUUGACAGGAUACGGGUUCGAAAAAAAUUAUCGACGCCCGAAAUAAUCGCACGACAAAAAUCAUCCCGGUGUGAAAGGACCUUAAGUCUUCGUUUCAUUCAGAUCUACGAAUUCAGUCUGUGUUUUAGCGUCCUAUUUGCACGAACAAAGCCAUUAAAAUAAAAAAUAUAUAUGAAAACAAACGAAACAGGAAGUGCAUGGUAGGAUUUCCUGACGAGGUAGGACGGAAGUAGGACAACUCGGCUCAGACUUGCUUGGUUAGCUAAACCCAUGAUAUAAAAGAGUAACCUUUAAUGAGUAUUCAGAGAGAAAGAGGACAGCCCUGAUUUGAUGUUGUCCUGUCUUUUCUCAGGGCGGCCCAUGGUGGUGUCCAGCGGCAUGCAGUCGUUGGAGACGAUGCGCAAAGUUUACAAAACACUGAAGAAACACGACGUGAACUUUACCAUCCUGCAGUGCACCAGCUGUUACCCUCUGGCAGAUAAAGAUGUCCACCUCAGAGUGAUACCGGUGAGAAGACAGUAGCAGCCACUUCUUGAAUUUUAAAAAGAAAGCGUAUGGGGCACGCAGAGAGCCUAGCUGGUUAGCGUGCCGUGAUCCACCUCAGUUAGGUUUUUAAGUAAUGUUUCCUCAAAUAUAGCCGGAUUGUGUAAUAAUGUCAGGGUGCUAUCUUGUUAUCUUCUCAUUUUCUUCUUGGUCCCGUUUGCCUUGUCUCACCUCGCUGUGUCUCGUUCUUUGUCGUUGUUGUCUAUUGUCGGUGUGUUUCUUUUGGCCAUUUCUGUGGGAUUCUCAUGCAAUGUAUGUGCGUGGGUUGUGUGGUUGUGUCUUUGUUAGGUUUAGUUCUUUGUGUCAUCAGCUUUAUCUGUCCAAGACAAAUUUCCUUAAGGGGACAAUGAAGUGUAUCGUAUCGUAUUGUAUCACACUGUACUGUAUCGUAUCUUAAGAAAUGGCGUUUUUAGUAAAGCGUACGCCAUUAUAUCCUGGUAUGCAGAACUUAUUUUGUUUGACGUGGCCAUGCGAGCUGUGAACAUUCUCAAAGUUGACGUGACGGAUGAACCGGUCCUUCUGCAGCUCUGUUUGAAUUCCCGUCCAUGACACCCUAAAGGCAGCUUUGAUGGCACACCUUCUCCAUUUUCUCUCAAGAACAAAUCAAUGUAGAUCAGCGAUUUACUGGAUCCAGAGAGGAUGGAUGCAAUGCUCAGGUUAUGACAAGAGCGCCAUCUGCUGAAUCAAACGGCAAACUACUGUGGAUGGGCUUGAAUUUCAGAUAAAAAGUGAUACUGCUCUUGAAGUAAAGCCUCUGUUACAAACACCGACUCUUUUCCUUUUCCACUUGUUACUUGCAGGAAUACCAAAAGGAAUUUCCAGACAUUCCCAUCGGAUACUCCGGUCAUGAAACUGGGAUCGGUAUUUCAAUUGCAGCUGUAGCCAUGGGCGCAAAGGUCCUGGAGCGCCACUUCACCUUCGACAAAACAUGGAAAGGAAACGAUCACGCCGCCUCUCUGGAGCCCGCUGAGCUCACCGAGAUGAUUCGCUCCAUCCGGGCAGUAGAGCUGGCGCUGGGAUCCGGUUACAAGCAGAUAUGGCCAUGUGAGGAGCCAUUCCGCCGUAAGGUAAGCUAUCCUCCCACUGAAGACACCAAAAUCUAAGCUUUUGGGAUUUUAACAUCUCCCUCUUUACUCCUUAUCGUUUAGCUGGGUAAGUCAGUGGUCGCCAGAGUUAAAAUCCCCAAAGGAGAAACUCUGACUGAGAAGAUGCUGACGGUGAAGGUGGCCGAGCCUAUUGGCAUCCCAGCUGAGGAAAUCUACGAACUGCUUGGUAAGACUGUGCAGCAGGACAUCGAGCAGGACGAUAGCGUCUUACCUGAGAUGGUGGAAAACUACUCCAAGAAGGCCAAGCACUGAAGAAAACAGAGAGUCGAGGAAGGGGUGAAAAAGAAGGGCUUUUAAGUUGAAAGAAAUUUAAUGAAGUCUCAGGUGGUUGGUAACCUUUUUUUAUAGCUGCUUAUUUUUUUAGUCUAAGUGACUCAGCUGAAGUUGAAACAGAGAGCCAGUUUGCUCAAAUAUUUAUAUUCUCCAAAGACUCAGAUUUGUAAUUUUUCCAACAGAUGCCAGCUUCUCUUUUAAAUCCAUAUGCUGUAGUUUUUUUUUUACCUGCACUUAUGGAAACUAAUGUACACAGAGAAACAUAAAGCUGCUAGGGAUGGGUGAUAUAAAAGAUGAAACACAAAAUAUGAAGUGUUCAUCCAUCCCAGUGAAAUCGCAGGCUGUGCGUCCUCGUGUUUACUUCUCAGCAGUCAAGAGUUUACACCGGUGCAAAGGCAUCACGACUUCUUCGGUGCUCUGGCACCUACAGUAUCCUCUGAUCAUCACUACGGGUGAAUAAAUAUUAUUAUUAUUGGGGUCAUCCUGGAAUAUGAAGAAAUGUAACCUGUUGAACCAAAAUAUAAGAACCAAAUAAAAUAUUGUCUUAAGGUCUCC